UCAAUUUUAAUGUUGUAUAUAAUAUGACGAAACAAUAAGCCAUAUUAUUGCAUAGUGAAUAAUAUAAAUUCCACAUUGUCUAUUGUUCGAAGAGUAUGUGCAGAUAAUCCAAAGUAAAUAUAAUAUACAUAAAAGCAAAUGUGAAUGUCACUAGUAAAAUCUCCAAAUUUUUUUUGGAAAAUUACAAUCUUCUUCGCCUUUAAAUGAUAUUUUCUAAUCAUAAUCGCCUUUUAUAAAAAUAUAUAAUAAAGUCUUUUGGCUGAAUAAAACUAUUAAAUAAAAUAUGAGAGAGAGUCUUGGUUGUUGUGAGCUCGGACGAGUUCUACCACAAAGAGACAUACAGUCGUGCAUUCCGACUUGGAGAAGCUAGAACAAUUAUUAUACCAACGUAAAUGUAAAGAGGAAAAAAGGUAGACCAUCCAGAAGAUGGGCGGAUGAUAUUAAAGCCGUAGCAGGAGGUUUAUGGACAAGAACUGCCAAAGAUAGAGAGGAAUGGAUAAGGUUGGAGGAGGCCUUUGUCAAUAAAUGACAUACAAACGGGGUUAUCCAUGCUAAAGAGUUAAGGAUAGAGUUAAGACUUUAAUAUAUAAAGUAUAUAAAAAUAAAAUUGUUAACAAAAAGAAAGUUAAGAUAUGUAAAUGAAACACUGUAUGAAUAAAGGCUAUUAUUAUUAUUAUUA